rnacentral:rRNA from 1 species
UACGUAGGCGGCCAUAUAAGUCAGAAGUGAAAGGCUACGGCUUAACCGUAGUAAGCUUUUGAAACUGUAUGGCUUGAGUGCAGGAGAGGAAAGCGGAAUUCCUAGUGUAGCGGUGAAAUGCGUAGAUAUUAGGAAGAACACCAGUAGCGAAGGCGGCUUUCUGGACUGAUACUGACGCUGAGGUACGAAAGCGUGGGGAGCGAACAGGAUUAGAUACCCUGGUAGUCC